GAUGAACGCUGGCGGCGUGCCUAAUACAUGCAAGUCGAGCGAACAGACGAGGAGCUUGCUCCUCUGACGUUAGCGGCGGACGGGUGAGUAACACGUGGAUAACCUACCUAUAAGACUGGGAUAACUUCGGGAAACCGGAGCUAAUACCGGAUAAUAUAUUGAACCGCAUGGUUCAAUAGUGAAAGACGGUUUUGCUGUCACUUAUAGAUUGAUCCGCGCCGCAUUAGCUAGUUGGUAAGGUAACGGCUUACCAAGGCAACGAUGCGUAGCCGACCUGAGAGGGUGAUCGGCCACACUGGAACUGAGACACGGUCCAGACUCCUACGGGAGGCAGCGGUAGGGAAUCUUCCGCAAUGGGCGAAAGCCUGACGGAGCAACGCCGCGUGAGUGAUGAAGGUCUUCGGAUCGUAAAACUGUGUUAUUAGGGAAGAACAAAUGUGUAAGUAACUAUGCACGUCUUGACGGUACCUAAUCAGAAAGCCACGGCUAACUACGUG
rnacentral:rRNA from 1 species